GGCGAACGGGUGAGUAAAGCAUCGGAACGUACCGUGUAGUGGGGGAUAACGUAGCGAAAGUUACGCUAAUACCGCAUACGCACUGAGGUGGAAAGCAGGGGAUCGCAAGACCUUGCGCUAUACGAGCGGCCGAUGUCAGAUUAGCUAGUUGGUAGGGUAAAGGCCUACCAAAGCGACGAUCAGUAGCCGGCCUGAGAGGGUGAACGGCCACAUUGGGACUGAGAUACGGCCCAGACUCCUACGGGAGGCAGCAGUUAAGAAUCUUGCACAAUGGGCGCAAGCCUGAUGCAGCGACGCCGCGUGAAUGAUGAAGGCUUUAGGGUUGUAAAGUUCAGUAAGCAGGGAAGAAUAAGCGCCGGGUAAUAUUCGGUGUGAUGACGGUACCUGCCUAAAGCCCCGGCUAACUACGUGCCAGCAGCCGCGGUAAUACGUAUGGGGCGAGCGUUGUUCGGAAUUAUUGGGCGUAAAGGGCGUCUAGGCGGGGAUUUAAGUUAGGUGUGAAAGCUAUGGGCUCAACCCAUAAACUGCAUCUAAAACUGGAUCUCUUGAGUUCGGGAGAGGAGAGCGGAAUUCCAGGUGUAGCGGUGAAAUGCGUAGAUAUCUGGAAGAACACCAGUGGCGAAGGCGGCUCUCUGGCCUAGAACUGACGCUGAAGCGCGAAAGCGUGGGGAGCGAACAGGAUUAGAUACCCUGGUAGUCCACGCUGUAAACGUUGUAUACUAGGUGUUAGUGGCUUGUCCACUAGUGCCGCAGCAAACGCAUUAAGUAUACCGCCUGGGGAGUACGCCCGCAAGGGUGAAACUCAAAGAAAUUGACGGGGGCCCGCACAAGCGGUGGAGCAUGUGGUUUAAUUCGAUGAUACGCGAAGAACCUUACCUGGGCUUGAACUGUGCAUGACCGGCGUAGAGAUACGUCUUUCCUUCGGGACAUGGUAUAGAGGUGCUGCAUGGCUGUCGUCAGCUCGUGUCGUGAGAAUUGUUGGGGUAGUCCCGCACGAGCGCACCCCUACUCUCUGUGCUAUCAGUAUGCUGGCACUCUGAGGACUGCGUGAAACCGG
rnacentral:rRNA from 1 species